rnacentral:rRNA from 1 species
AUGAGACGGCCGCUCGGCGCAUGCGGCAGCAGAUCCAGCCCGGCCGCUGCUUUCCUCCUGGCCGCCGCCGCGAUCUGCGCCCAGUUCGCCACAGGGUUUCCAUUUAAACAACACGAUGAUUCAGUAACUCAGUCACUUAUGAUAGUUUGUAUGGAAAUCAGCCAAAGUCAGCCAGGACUAGCUGAUGAUGCAUCUAAAGAUGAGUCAAAAGGUCACACUGGCCAAACAGUUUUGUUUGUCCUGCUAGGAAUUGGUGCAGCCGGUCUGUUGUCAUUCUUCCUUUUCAAGUAUUGGCAGAAGAAGAAAAGAGAGGAGCAACAUGCACGGCUGCUGAAGUUAUUUGAAGAGGAUGAUGACAUUGAGGUCGAGCUUGGCCUUAGAGAUUGA